ACAAACAUCACAGAAAUAACAAGGAUUCUCUAGUGCCCACUUGUUAUCCACUGCAACCUUUGAAGCUCUUUUAAUUUUGCAAACGCCGCAUUUCUGAAACUUGGGCUUAGGUCGAAACACGAUCGGGUAAGCCGUUCUGUUCUGAACAUCCUCUGGAUGACUCAGCCUCAUGUCUCGUAUUAUUAUCAUGUGCUUGCAAUCUCCCUGUUCUCAGUUUAAUCAGUAAAAAUAUCUUGUGCUUUGCAUAACGUUAUCAUAGGAUGAGAAGUAAAGCAACAGAAAAGGGAUUUUACCUGAUGACAAUAGAGAUAACUAGCUCCGACUCUGAAUCUUAAGUCACAGAAGCGUGUACUAU
rnacentral:lncRNA from 1 species